UACUCCCAUUUAGGGAGUCGGGGAGACAUUUCAGCUCUCCACCUUGUUGGGGAGGGAGAGGCCGUCCCCCUGCGGGGGGAGCUGGCGUGGGAGGGAUGGGGUGAGCCUAUUCGUGCAGCCGCCCUGAAGUGGGGGCACGGGAAGCUGGGGCCUGUACACCUCGCCAAAGUCUGCGGUGGGCUCUGAGCUGGCCCCUCGGAGCAGCGCCCACAGAGAAAGCUUGGAGGGGGCCUGGUCCUGCAGAGCCCUCUGCUAAUGUUAUGUGCGAAAUGAAAUGAAAUGGCCAAAUUGUAUAAGCAACAUCACUACAGUGCCAGUGUUUCCAAUUGCCAUAUUAUUUGGUGUUUUAAACAAAAAACCCUGCCCUAGGAGUUAUUGGACAAUAUGAGAAUCUCAGCUUUCUCCUAAAAGAAAACCGGGAUCCCUGUAUGAUGACUGUAUUGUGUGUGCCCACUCAGUUGAAAAGCUCCAGGUCACUCUUGAUUGCUUCUGCAAGGCAUAUGAAAUUCUUGGACUUGCUGUCAAGAUAUUUUACCAACCCACCCUGAACCAACCAGCUGUUCCUCCCCUUAUUACAAUAAGAGGGCAACCUGUACAGCAUUUUUCCUAACUGGGUAGCCACUAUCCCCCAAAAUAAGCAUAUAUAAUGAUAUUCAACACAAUACAAACAGCCAGUGUUGCUUUUGGGCAUCUCUGAAAUCAUGGCUUUGAAAAUGACAUCAGGAUCCAAACCAAGCUUCUUGUCUACCAGGCCAUUGUCCUCUCUACCCUACUGAAUGGAUGUGAAAUUUCAAUGACAUAUUGAGAACAGCUGAAAGCUUUGGAACAUUACCAUCAAUGAUGUCUGUAGAAAAUCGUCCACAUCAAUUGGAAGGGCAAGCAGAAGAAUGAACACCAGCAUUCUGGUUCAAGUAAACACCACCAGCAUUGAAGCCCUGUUUAUAUGGCACCAGCUCCAUACCUGGGAGACUCAAGCAUGGAAUCAUCCUCUAUGGCACUAUGAUGUAUGACAAGGCAUCAAUUAUUUUGAGCACACUCACCUCACUAUGGAGGUGUAUA